UCCCUCUCAGGAUCACACCUGGAGAGUUUCCAGUACUCUACCAGUCUUGGCUACGGGAGGAAGAGCCAAGCAGAGGCAUACUCAUUCCAUUCCUAGCUUGGGCAACGGCUAGAGAGUGGAAGCUUUGUAGCUUUGCUACAAGU